rnacentral:rRNA from 1 species
UACGAAGGGGGCUAGCGUUGUUCGGAGUUACUGGGCGUAAAGGGCGCGUAGGCGGCGCACCAAGUCAGGCGUGAAAGCCCUGGGCUCAACCCGGGAAUUGCGCUUGAGACUGGUGUGCUUGAGUACGGGAGAGGAUAGUGGAAUUCCCAGUGUAGAGGUGAAAUUCGUAGAUAUCGGGAGGAACACCAAUUGCGAAGGCAGCUCGCUGGGACGUCACUGACGCUGAGACGCGAAAGCGUGGGGAGCAAACAGGG